GUUAGGCGUCACAUACCUGAUUUCAGCUCUCCUCAGCCCAGAGUUGCCAGAGCAGUACAACAGUGAACUCAUCUGGUGUCUAGCUCUCUGUGAGACAGAAGCGCUAUAGUCAGUCUAUAGCUGAUACAGGAGCUGGGCCUGCUAGUAGCAACCCUAUCACCUGCCAGGUGGAAGUGUAUGACCGGGAGCACGACUAGUGAUUUUUGAACACGUGGGAUUGGCAAUGUUGCAGAGAGAGACUGUAACACACCUUUCAAAGUCCUUGUUCCUCUUUCUCCUAGGGGGAGAGGAUGGAGCAGAGAGAUUACAACGCACCUAACAACGUCCUUCCGCCAGCCUUAGGAGGGACUGUAACACUAACAAUACCUCUCACCAGUCCCCAGCAAGACAGGAUGAAGAGACUUUAACAGUCAGCAAAAUUUCCCUUCUCUCUGGGGAUUGAGGAUUCUGUAACUCUCUUUUACUCCUUUUUUCCCUCUCAGAGUGCCCCUUCUGCUUCUGCUAGUCUUUGCAAUGAGGAACAAAAAAGCAGCAGCGACUGGUCUCCACAGCACCAUUUAUAACUCUUGUACAACCUGUAUUGUCUGACAUCUGAAUGAAAAUAAGAUCUACAGCUUCAGAAUGUGGAGAAGGGUGCAGUUUCCCUGGCAUGAAAUAUCUGAUACAUUUUCAGAGAGACAAGUUUCCCCAUACCACUGAGGCAAUAUGUUGGAUAAUCAUCUCUUAGUAGUUUAUAACAUCUGCUAGUCAAUUUAGAAGUGAUGGAGCUGCACAGCAUUGUUUCUUCAACGAGUGAGAAGUGAUUGGUUUUCCUUUUUUGGUAAAGAUGCAGUGAUGGGAAGGCAAUGCAGACUGUGGUGAUGAGGAGGCAUUGCAAUGAUUCAAUCUCUAGUGCUC
rnacentral:lncRNA from 1 species